UUUGAUAACUAGUCAAAUAUCCAUAUAGAAGUGAAAUUAAAAAAAUAAAAUUAUACUUUUAAUCUCUUUUUUUUUGUGACAGACGGAGUAACAAUUGAUGAAGAGGGUAUGAUGGGCUCUUUUCAGAGGGAUUUUUAUCUAGAGUAAAGAAUUAUCUUCCCACCCAAGUUCUAGCUUGAUCUUAAUUUGUCUUAUUAUAACUGUAAUAUAUAGGAGGAGCAGUGGACUAUAAUAUUGGAUGAAUAAUUAUUUGAAAGGCACGUUUUGCUUGCAUUGUUGGGCGUGAUUUGACCUUGUUUAUUUAUCUAAAGCUCCCUCUAGUUUACUUCACUUUUUCAUCUUUCA
rnacentral:lncRNA from 1 species